rnacentral:lncRNA from 1 species
GAAGCUUUAAGAUACAAUUUAUAAGUUGAUACACCCGAAGGUGAGUCCUAAUUUUGUCCAAUCUGUCAGAACAUCGUCGAAUUCCUCGUAGCCACCACACCUCAGCUAUUCUUUAACCUGGAGGGGCGCAAAACCAAAAUUGAGUGGGUCAGUAAAACAAUUCUUUUCCAAAUCCAAACAUUUCUCAAAACGUUGUAACCCCUCUCCGUAAAACCUGUAUACUUUCCCAGAAUGUAAAAUAUAAAUAUACAUAUAUAUUCUCAAAACUUCAUUUUUACUAUCUCAACAUUUUUCUUUAUCAAUCAUGCCAUGCCAUGUCUAAUUCAACAGUUAAAUAUGGAUGCAUCAACAAUAAUCAUAUCAGGUGCAAGAAAGUAAUCAACCGGAGGCCCUCUAAUAGCCUGUACGGUUGAACCUAGAGCUCAAAAUCUAUCACUAUCACUCUACCGGAGUCACCUCUGUGACCCGUCCGGCCUUCUGCACACAAGUUACGCUCUAGUGCUUUCUCAUUAAUCAUCUGUGCACAUAAUCUAAGGUCACCCCACCAGUCGAAAUCUCACUAACACUCUUCGACUGGCCCGUCGCACCCACUCCGCGUGGACUGUGCGACCAGCAUCUACUUGGAUCCAAGGCGAGCGUGCGAUGCGGUGAAUACUAUAAGCACUAAACCAAGGUGCAGGAUUUGAGCUCAAUAUACAUCAACAUCAUCAUAACAGUAAUUAAAUACUCACCUGAUACUCACCUGUGCGUCCGCCGCAACAUUCAUUCAUAUGCAUCAUAUAUCUCAAAUCAUACUUUUCAUAUCAUUUCAUGCAUGGCAAUUCAAUUUACAUUUCCAUAUAUAUUUCAUAUACUUCUAUGCAUGAUCUUUCAAUUCACGUUUUCAUAUCAUUCUAUAUACCUUUCAUUUAAAACAUAAUUUCAUUCUAAUUCAAUUUCUGGGAAAGCGUCAAGUAUAUAUAUAUACGGAAAACAAAACUGCCCACUCACAUAUUACAUCGACGUCUCGUAAGUCCCUGAGCAUCCCUUGGCCAUGCCCGAUGCCCGCAUAAACCUCACCUAUACAAAAGUAACCAUUUUGACGUUAUUUAACGCCUAACCCAAAUCUUAGUUAAUAACUCCUCAUAUAUUGCUCAAAUUGGGUAUAUGAAUAUACCACCGUGACCUACACAACCUCAGGAUCAUCCCCAUAUUUUUAAAAUAAUUUUUCGAGGUCUCACGCGCCCCCACGCGCCUGACGUGUCACGGACCUACGCGCCCCCACGCGCGGCCACGUGACAUGCACACAGACGGCUACAGUGAACGGCGUUAGGGAAUAUUCCGUUAAAUCCUAGCAUUUUCCGUUAAAUAUCCAACGGUAACGGUAACGGCGUUGGCAUAUUCCGUCAGUUUUGACGGAAUAUUCCCUGUCUUCUCCGGCGAGUCGCCGGUCGCCGGCGACUGUUCGCCGGUUUCUGGAAAAUUUUCAAAUCCACUAUUCUCCUUCGUUUUUCAACCAAUUUCUUCGAAUUUUAUACCAAAAUGAAGCAUUUAACAUGUACUAUCACGUUGGAAAGGUUUUAGGGCCUAAAAACAACUAGAUCAUACCUUCCAAAAUUCCUCAAAUUCGGCCAAACUCGAACCCAACGAUCCCGACGUCCAUUUUGUUCAAACGAGGCACUCCGAGCCUCCUCGUGACCUCCUUAAGCUCACUGUGAGCUUUGUUUAACCUAAAACACGGCCAACUUAAAGUUUGUGAACAGUGCAAAUCCACGGGGUGAUUUGAAACUAGGGUUUUUGAAAUAGAACUCACCUGAAACUUGUACCCCCGUGCUCGUGAAGUUCCCAAGAUCACGAUGGUGAUCUUAGAUUGGACGUUCGUGUAGAAUUGUGGUUGUUCUUGGUGUUUGCCGUGAGUUCGAGAGUAAGAGAGAGAGUGAGAGAGUGUUUCUGAAAUGAAGAAAGAGAGAGAGAGAGUGACUAGGGAGAGCUGAGGAAGAGAGAGACAACCUACGGGUUUUGGGGAAGAAAUUCAGGAGGUGGGGAUCCCACGUGAUAAAUUCCAAAACCAACAUUAAAACUUUAGUAUGUAAUUGUAACCCUAAGUCUAAGUUUAUGUUUCUGACACUAAAUAAUAUUCCAAUUAAUAUAGAUUAGGGGAUUUAGGUAAAAACCAAUAGAUAAAUGACGCACCUUAAUCCCGUUUAAGGGCGUUUCUGUAAUUUCACGUCAUCGGAAUUAAAAUUCCGGGACGGGCUGUGACAAUCUCCCCUCCUUAUAGAAUUUCUUCCCCGAAAUUCCAGUCACCAACCAUAACAUCAAAACUCAUAGAAUAGUCUCGGAUACAUAUCUCUCAUCCUUUCUUCUGUCUCCCAAGUAGUUUCUUCAGCUGAAUGAUUUCUCCACAAUACUUUUACCAAGCUCACGGUCUUAUUCCUCAAAGUCUUAUCUUUCCAAUCCAGUAUAGUCACUGGUUCCUCAUCAUACGUCAAAUCCGGAUUAAUUUCCAAUGGUUGAGGAGGAAUCACAUGUGAAGGAUCUGACACAUAAUGCCGAAGCAUCGAGACAUGGAACACAUUAUGUACCUUAGCCAAUUCUGAAGGCAUCACAAACUUGUAUGCAACUUCGUCGAUUCCUUUAAUGAUCAAAAACGGACUGAUGUGUUCAAGACUUAUCUUGUCUUCCUUUCUAAAUCUUACUAUUUCUGUUCAUGGUGAAAUUCCAAAAAUAUCAAACCAUUUACCUUACACACUCAAUUAGUGGCAUAUCCAUCUGUUGAUCUCUUUUGCCAUUCCUGGUUACUUCAGGUUAACUUAAUCACCUGAAUACUUUGAGGAGACUCAUCCAUAGUCUCAAGGUCUACUAAAACUCUUUCUUGAUCGAAUAUUUCUCUACCCAGAAACAUUCCAUUCACAAGUCAUCAAAAACCGACUCACAUGACACAUUUCAUGAUCCUUAUGGCGUUACUUCGGAAACUGCACAACCAACAUACUUAAGAAACUCAGCAGUUCCGUAAACCAAUUCUCUUUUCCAUAAAACAAAUAAGUAAUGUUGCACUGUCUGGGAAAGGUUGUUACUCAACACUGGAGUAAAUGUACUAACUUGUUACUUAACAAGUAUAACUUCUUCUCGAUCUUCCAUUCUUAAUUUUUCUUCCGUUGGUUUUCAAUCCACAAGAUGAUACUCUUGGCAAAUGUGCCAGAUAUUAAUCUUACUGUAGUCUUCUCACCAAGUGCUUCAGCUAGAACAAUUCACGAUCACCCUGAUCGUACAAUCAUAAUCACUAAGUAAUUCAAUCCACCUUUGUUGCCUCAUAUCAAAAUCCUUCUGAGUAAACAAAUAUUGGAGACUCUUUUGAUUUGUAAAAUCUUGCAUUCUCACUAAAAUAUAAUGUCUCCAUAACUUCACAGCAAGGAUGGUAAUCGUGACUUCCAAAUCACCAGUAGGGUAAUUCAUCUCAUGAGAUUCCAUUUGUCGUGAAACGUAUGCAAUCACCCUAACAUUUGCAUCAACAUGCAUCCAAUACCAUUCAAGAAACAUCACUAAAAAUUUAUGAUUACCACUAUUCUCUGGGAUUACUAAAAUACGUGCAUGAGUGAGGAAAUACUUCAGUUGUUGAAUCCUUUGCUCACAAUUUCCUUCCCACUCAUACAUAACCUCCUUUCUCAACAGUCUCGUCAAUGACAAAGCAAUGACUGAAAAAUCUUUCACAACCAUCCAAGAUAGCCUGGUAAGUUAAGAAAUUCCAAAUCUCAAUUACGACUCGUGGUUGUUCCAAAUUCUCAAUUUCUGCUAUCUUUUAAGGAUUCACUUGAAUACCUUAAGAAUAUAUAACAUAUCCCAGAAAUGCUACUUGAUUCAUCUAACAUUCGCAUUUGCUAAACUUAGCAUACAAUCGACAUUCUUCCAAUCUUUGUUCCACCGACUUAAUACGUUUACAUGCUAUGCUCUGGCUCAGAAUAUGCCAGGAUAUCUUCAAUGAAAAUGAUAUCUAUUUAUCAAGGCAUUAUUGGAAUACUUCAUCCAUCAACUCAUAAAACAGCAUGAGUAUCCAUAUAGCAUCACCAAACUUCAUAAAGACUAUAACAAGUCCAGAAAAACCAUCUUAUGAUCAACGUUACUCAUAAUCUUCAAUUGAUAAUAGACAGACUUCAAGUCAAUCUUUGAAAAUAUACAAGCACCUUUGAACUGAUCAAAUGAGCGUCAAUACACCACAAUGGAUAACGGUUCUCAUUCGUUACCCGAUUCCAUUAUCUAUAAUCAAUGGAUAGCCUUAAAAAUCCAUUUUCUUCCUCAUCAACGAACUGGGGCUCCCCCAAAGCGUUGUACUAGGUUGAAUAAAACUUUUAUCAACCAAUUCUUUCAACUGAAUUUCCAAUUCCCUUAACUCAUCAUGAACCAAUCUUUAACAUAAAUUUAUACCUGGCAACAAAUCAAUAGUGAACCUCAUAUCUCUGCCUGAAGGCAAUCCAGGUAUACUUUCAGGGAAGACAUCAAGAAAAGUCUAACCCCUUUUUCAUUUUUUUUUUUUUUUUUAUUUUUUUAUUUUUUUUCACACUUCUCCGAGCAACAUCCUUUAGUACCACAUGAACUAAAUAUUCUUGGGCAGCCUUUCAAAACAAUCUCUUUGCUUUCACAGCAUAAAUAAUGGCUGAACUCACUUCACUUUGCAUGCCCACUCAUUAAGGUAAUCUCUGAUCAUCCAGAUCGAUGGAAAGUGACUGGUUUCCCGUAACAAUCCAUUUAGUCACAAUUAUAACCAACCAAUCUAAUGGAACAGAAUUAACUGAUACAAUAUAUAUUCUAUUAUUAAUAAGCAUUCUAAAUAAGUACAAUACUAACAUAAAAUAAUCUACCAGGUUGCUUGCUUAACGAAUCCACGAAUGAGUUAUUAAUAUUACGGUCUGCAGCCCGCAAUACUGAUAAAUCAUCGUUGUCUCGAUAAGUAGGCAACCACUCUCAAAGAUAUAACAAUACUAUUUUGCCACUCAAUGCAAAAUACAUACACUCGUCUCAACUACAUUUAUUUACUACUCUCUAAGUAAUAACAUACAUAAUAAGAAAUAUAUCAGCCGAAGUCAACUAGAAUGACCAAUACGGCUGAUUCAACUCUUAUCUCAAUAAUACGUCGGCCGGAUCCACUCCGCGUGGUCGGUACGGCCGAGCCUAUAACUCACCAAUUUCUCAUGCGUCAGUCGAAUCCACCUCUCGUGGCCUGUAUGGCUGAACAUACUCAUCAAAUCUCUCUGUACCCACGGUCAAACCGACCAAACUACUAAAUCCAUAAACCUGCUGAAUCGAUACUACGAUGUCAUAGAAAACUGUUGGGUACAACUGAUUUUAAGGACGAUUCACAAUUCUGUGUCCCCUCUGUUCACAUAAACACAUUCAUUAAUUUCACACUUCCCAAAGUGUUAAUUUUGUACCUGCUGCACAAGGUACAUUUCCUUUACUCGAGACACCUUGUCUCAAAUAUCUGGGAUUACCAGUAUAUCCAUCACUUUUAUUCUGACUAGCGACAUUAAAACCUCAGCUGGAAGAAUUAACUCUAGCUUCACUUCUUUCGAAGCUCUGAAUCUUUCUAUAUCCUUGAUAUGACGAAUCAUUAACUUUAUCGUCUUCUUUUAAUUCCCAUUCAUUUCUUAUUCUUCUUUAUUCUCGUUGCUCAUGUUCUCAGAGUCCUCAAGACUCAACAACAUCUAGCAUACUCCUGAUAAGAACUACACUGGAUAGUGGUCACCCAAAAUACCACUUCCCUUUUUGCCACCCAGCUUAAAACAACAUAACACCUCCACCAAAUUAACAACAAUAUCUGGAUGGAACGAGGCAAGUCUGAAAACUUUCUAUAAUAUUCAUUUAUCGUCAACUUCCUUGAUUCACAUUUGCAAACUCUUGCUUACUACCAUCGAUAAAUGCCGGAGGGAUAAACUUUUCCUUAAACAAGUCCUUAAAUAAUUCUCAAUCAGCUGUUUUCUCCGGUGACAACAAUUAACAAUCCUGUUUCCACCAGGAUACAAAUUCAUACCCAAAACCAGGUAGUCGUCUCGACCCCUUGUCAGAAGGAAGAUUCCUUUGACUUGCAUAAUCUGAAACAUCUUUUCCAAAUGGUUAAACCGUUACUUCGCUCCCUCAGGUUCAUCAUUUCAUAAGGUGAUUCAAAUUCGACUCAUAAUCCGUCUUAAAAUGUCCCUUUUUAUAAUAGAUUGAAUCACCAUAAUAAUAGUUUUCCCUAAACCGCUAUAUUAGGGAGACUAAAUUCCUCUAACUAAGUGGCUUGCUACGAGGCGGUGUAGUUCUGACAGAAUUCACUAGAACUUCUCAAAAUGUCCAAGAUUGCAACCAUGCUCUGAUACCAACUGACACACCCCGUCCCGAAGGAGGGCAUGCUGGCCGUCACGUGAGAGUGACGUAACCAUUUGCACAGUACGGAAGCUUUAAAGAUACAAUUUAUAAGUUGAUACACCCGAAGGUGAGUCCUAAUUUUGUCCAAUCUGUCAGAACAUCGUCGAAUUCCUCGUAGCCACCACACCUCAGCUAUUCUUUAACCUGGAGGGGCGCAAAACCAAAAUUGAGUGGGUCAGUAAAACAAUUCUUUUCCAAAUCCAAACAUUUCUCAAAACGUUGUAACCCCUCUCCGUAAAACCUGUAUACUUUCCCAGAAUGUAAAAUAUAAAUAUACAUAUAUAUUCUCAAAACUUCAUUUUUACUAUCUCAACAUUUUUCUUUAUCAAU